CGCUGUGAAGAUGCAGUGUACCCGCGGCAAGACGGAAAGACCCCGUGAACCUUUACUAUAGCUUGACACUGAACAUUGAGCCUUGAUGUGUAGGAUAGGUGGGAGGCUUAGAAGUGUGGACGCCAGUCUGCAUGGAGCCGACCUUGAAAUACCACCCUUUAAUGUUUGAUGUUCUAACGUUGACCCGUAAUCCGGGUUGCGGACAGUGUCUGGUGGGUAGUUUGACUGGGGCGGUCUCCUCCUAAAGAGUAACGGAGGAGCACGAAGGUUGGCUAAUCCUGGUCGGACAUCAGGAGGUUAGUGCAAUGGCAUAAGCCAGCUUGACUGCGAGCGUGACGGCGCGAGCAGGUGCGAAAGCAGGUCAUAGUGAUCCGGUGGUUCUGAAUGGAAGGGCCAUCGCUCAACGGAUAAAAGGUACUCCGGGGAUAACAGGCUGAUACCGCCCAAGAGUUCAUAUCGACGGCGGUGUUUGGCACCUCGAUGUCGGCUCAUCACAUCCUGGGGCUGAAGUAGGUCCCAAGGGUAUGGCUGUUCGCCAUUUAAAGUGGUACGCGAGCUGGGUUUAGAACGUCGUGAGACAGUUCGGUCCCUAUCUGCCGUGGGCGCUGGAGAACUGAGGGGGGCUGCUCCUAGUACGAGAGGACCGGAGUGGACGCAUCACUGGUGUUCGGGUUGUCAUGCCAAUGGCACUGCCCGGUAGCUAAAUGCGGAAGAGAUAAGUGCUGAAAGCAUCUAAGCACGAAACUUGCC
rnacentral:rRNA from 1 species